rnacentral:rRNA from 1 species
UCUCUCUGAAUCUGCGAACGGCUCCGCAAACCAGUUGUAAACCCAAGCACAGUCCCGCCCGGCUUCAGCAAUGAGGCCGGGCACUAUAUGGAUAACCGUGGUAAUUCUGAGGCUAAUACAUGUCUAAAACGAUACCGUCCUGGGCAUCGCGCUCGGGGCGGGAACGUGCGAGCUUAAAAUACUGGGAUUCCAAUCGCGAAAGAACGCACGUUCAGACCACCGUCGAGUGAGCCGUCCUCCGGGGCGGUUCUGGUGGCGCUUGCAACGGGCUUCUGACCUAUCAACUACACAGCAGCGUAAGGGACAUGCUGUGGUGACAACGGGUACAGAGGAUUAGGGUUCGAUCCUGGAGAGUGGGCCUGAGAGAUU